rnacentral:rRNA from 1 species
AGUGAACGCUGGCGGUAGGCCUAACACAUGCAAGUCGAACGGCAGCACAGGAGAGCUUGCUCUCUGGGUGGCGAGUGGCGGGCGGGUGAGGAAUACAUCGGAAUCUACUCUGUCGUGGGGGAUAACGUAGGGAAACUUACGCUAAUACCGCAUACGACCUACGGGUGAAAGCAGGGGACCUUCGGGCCUUGCGCGAUUGAAUGAGCCGAUGUCGGAUUAGCUAGUUGGCGGGGUAAAGGCCCACCAAGGCGACGAUCCGUAGCUGGUCUGAGAGGAUGAUCAGCCACACUGGAACUGAGACACGGUCCAGACUCCUACGGGAGGCAGCAGUGGAGAAUAUUGGACAAUGGGCGCAAGCCUGAUCCAGCCAUACCGCGUGGGUGAAGAAGGCCUUCGGGUUGUAAAGCCCUUUUGUUGGGAAAGAAAUCCAGCUGGCUAAUACCCGGUUGGGAUGACGGUACCCAAAGAAUAAGCACCGGCUAACUUCGUGCCAGCAGCCGCCGUAA